rnacentral:lncRNA from 1 species
AAAACUGGCCUGAGAAGCCACAGGUUUUUAAUUAGCUUUAUCAUAAAAAAAAAUUAAAAAAAUAAGUGUAAAUUACAAGUAAAUAAAAGAAGUUCAAUCAAACAUCAAAAGAUAAAAAAAUAAAUAUAACACUAGCGUGGCGACAGGUAUAACUAGUAACAACAAUAACAUUGUCCAAAAACCAUAAUAUAUCAACAAAAAUUAGAUCUUUACAUAGUUUUUCUCAUCGAGAGGAGAAAUCCAGCCCUUACUUGUACUAAAAUGCAUGAGACGAUAGAACUCAAUCCUCCCACCCUCUUGACGGUUGGCAUCUUGUGUUUCAACAUCACCCGCAGCCUCACGAGCUUCAAAAUUUUAGUACAUAUAUGUUAAAGGCAGUUUCAAGUUAAAUUCCUUUCUACUGUCAAAUUUUAUUUUUUUUUGGCUUAAUUUCUAUCAUUCACACAAGCAAUAGACCAGCGACGCCAUUCAACAUGAAGCAUGCAAUUGUGUGCACAAAAUCAGAAAAAGGUGUGCAUAUGAGAUGACUACAAAAUGUCAGCAAGGAAACUGUCAGGGAAAACACCAAAUCAUCACUGUUAGAUCAGAUGGAACUAGUUAUACAACCAGACCAAAGAGAGGAAUCUGUUGUUUGCCUACUGUGAAUUAUUAUUAGCUCACCAUCAAGUGCAGCCCACAAACUAAUUCUUCUUUAAAAUGUCCCACUGCCAAGCUAACAAAAGAUUGGAAUAGUUCUCUAUUAAAACUAACAAUCUCCUGAUGAUAGCGGUCUAGUCUAUAACCUUACUGUCUAAAUGUUGGGUUCAAGUUGCAUGGAAAAAUGUUUGAACACUUGUAUAUGAUUUGGUCUAUACACACCAAAAUCUAUUAUUUUAUUCGAAAAAAUGAAAAUUUGUAAAGAAGAAAAAUGUUACUGUAAAAGAAAACUGUUUCAGCUUUGAUGAAUAAUUAACUCUUCAAACAAUAAGAAGCAGAAUUAAUGGAAAAAUGUAAACUACAUCUAUUAAAGUAAACGAGAAAACCUGUUGCUUUCCAAGGGCAUGUUCUAUCAAUGAAAAUUUAUGUAAACUACUUUAUCAAUGGAACCCGGGCACUAGUUCAUAGACUAAGACUGGAUAUUCAAUUAAAAAACUUUAUCAUAAAUGCCAUACCACUAAGUAAGAAUACAUGCUAACUAUCAAAAUAUCAAAUAGUGAUCACCUGGUAUUCUUCAGUUUCAAACCAAGUACACAUCUCAGUCCAUGCAUCCUAAGCAACAUGUUUUUGAGGUUCGGCCUUUCUUGUCAAUAUCAUCUCAGUCCAAGAAUCCCUGACAAAAGAGUUUCAGUUCUAAUAACAACAGGUAUGAAGCGCCAUACAAUAUGUCAACAUCUGAGGCAUAUAUAUGCUGCUGCUAUCAAUGAGCAGCCAACAAUGGAAUUAUUAACAGUUGCACUCUUACCUACCUUAAUACCUCUGAUGACUUUUUACUGACUUUGUAGUUACAUAUGAUAACGAGUUCCAAGCAGAUCAAAUACUUUGUCAGAGCUAUUAUAACCUCUAUUUCUUAUAUAUAGGCAAAAAUUUCUAGUAAAUAUAUUGUAUAUUGGGAAGACAUGUUCAGAACUAAGAAGCCUACUUCAUGAAUAAUAAUGCCCAAUGGGAUCCUAUCCAAUAUCCGUCUUGAAUCUUGACUUCUACUCCAUAAAAGAAAAUUUAUUUAUGAGUAUUAUAGCUUAAAAAUGAUAUAUGUAAUCCUGAUCAGCUAGCAAGAUGCAUCGUUAGGUUGGGACAGAAAUAAGAGCGAUCAAGUUAGUUGCACUCGCGAGACGCUUACAAGACACAGGACUACACAACAGCAGUCAACAGCAGCACACCCAUGUCUAUAUAGUCAUGUGGAUUUAAUAACUGACAAUAGAUACAAAACUUCGACAGGAUAACUACAGGUCCAAUUAUCUGGUUCACCCAUACAAACUGAUAUGUGCCGACAACACAUCUCCAAAGAUCGUAAAAUAGAAACCAACCAACAAUCGCCUAACAUUCCCCAAAACAAUAAAUAGUUAAGUUUCCAUCUGAAUACACGCCGCCAUUUUUUUGGGAACACAGUGGACUAGUGGAUGUAAUUAAACCAAAAUUUUCCAAAUGGAUGAACUUCUAGAUCUCAAUUAUAAUCAAUCUACAUUCAAUUUAAAUCAUAGUUAGUAAUCUAGACAUGGAUCAAAAUUAUUAUCAAACUACAUUCGAUUCACAACAAAUUUAGGAAUCUAGACAUGGAUACGAAGUUAAUCACAGUCUAAACUCAAUUUUACCAAAGAUCUACCAAUCAAUUUUUUAUUCCAAAACAAACCUUAGACAAAUGAGGUUUAACUAAAAACUCUCUAAUCAGAUAAACCCUCUUCUUUUCAAUAAAUUUGCUAUCGAUCUACAUUCCACUUCACAAAUAAAAAGGAACUAAACAUGCAAUCAAUCACAGAUUGAGUCAAAGAUUUCAGUUUUAUUAUCAAAGGUCUGUAAAUCAAUACAGAUUCCAUAUAAUUUUUAGUUAAUCCAAGCAUGCAUGCAUCUUAACCAUCAGAAAACUAUCACCUAAUGCAAAUAGUAAACUGCAGAUUUUUAACUGAAAACCAUAAUCAUAUAAAGAAACGCAUACCCGAUUCUUGUUUUCCACCAUUAGAAGCUUUGGGUUUCUCGGAUGCUGUAUUUGUACUUGGUACCUUAACAGCUGCAGAUUCCAUCUUCUCCAUUUAGAUGAUCGGAAAUCACAAAUAACAAAAAAGAUUACGAAAUAAAUAAAUAGAGAUGAAAAAAAUCUUCACUUUCUUUCUACAAGAAAAUGAAUAUUUCUUUCGACCUUGCUUUGAUGGCUUUGAACUUCCAAUGUUCUUGCUCUGAUUGUUUCAGCCGUGGAGAUUCAUGUAGCAAGCUAGAGUCUGUGAAAAGAGCUCAACUUAAUAUUAAUGCCAUAUUCCAAACUCAACUCAAAUCGAGGUUAUAAUUUAACUGUUUAAGUGUUUAGACAUGAAAAUAAAAGCAUUUAAGGCCAUAUUCGAAUUGUAAAUUUUCAUUAAAACAUGUUGUAAUUGACUAGAAAUUGAUCAGUGAAAUAAAAGAAAAAUACAAAAAUUCAGGUUAAUCCCAACAUAGAAAACAUACCGAUAUAUAAUAAUCUGGUAAAUCGCUGAUUCUGUAGAUAUGUUUCUCCUCAGUUUCUUCUUCCAUCUCCAUUAGUGUUUCUCCUCCUAGCGGCGUUGAG